rnacentral:rRNA from 1 species
GUGCCAGCAGCCGCGGUAAUACGUAGGUCCCGAGCGUUGUCCGGAUUUAUUGGGCGUAAAGCGAGCGCAGGUGGUUUAAUAAGUCUGAUGUAAAAGGCAGUGGCUCAACCAUUGUGUGCAUUGGAAACUGUUAGACUUGAGUGCAGUAGAGGAGAGUGGAAUUCCAUGUGUAGCGGUGAAAUGCGUAGAUAUAUGGAGGAACACCGGUGGCGAAAGCGGCUCUCUGGACUGUAACUGACACUGAGGCUCGAAAGCGUGGGUAGCAAACAGGAUUAGAUACCCUGGUAGUCCACGCCGUAAACGAUGAGUGCUAGUUGUUUGGGGCUAUCCAGCCCUAAGUGACGCAGCAAACGCAUUAAGCACUCCGCCUGGGGAGUACGACCGCAAGGUUGAAACUCAAAGGAAUUGACGGGGGCCCGCACAAGCGGUGGAGCAUGUGGUUUAAUUCGAAGCAACGCGAAGAACCUUACCAGGUCUUGACAUACCAGUGCUAUUCUUAGAGAUAAGAAGUUACUUCGGUACACUGGAUACAGGUGGUGCAUGGUUGUCGUCAGCUCGUGUCGUGAGAUGUUGGGUUAAGUCCCGCAACGAGCGCAACCCCUAUUGUUAGUUGCCAUCAUUAAGUUGGGCACUCUAGCGAGACUGCCGGUAAUUAACCGGAGGAAGGUGGGGAUGACGUCAAAUCAUCAUGCCCCUUAUGACCUGGGCUACACACGUGCUACAAUGGUUGGUACAACGAGUCGCAAGCUAGUGAUAGCAAGCUAAUCUCUUAAAGCCAAUCUCAGUUCGGAUUGUAGGCUGCAACUCGCCUACAUGAAGUCGGAAUCGCUAGUAAUCGCGGAUCAGCACGCCGCGGUGAAUACGUUCCCGGGCCUUGUACACACCGCCCGU